AUUGAACGCUGGCGGCAGGCCUAACACAUGCAAGUCGAACGAGUGGAGGACGGGUGAGUAAUGUCUGGGAAACUGCCUGCUGGAGGGGGAUAACUACUGGAAAUGGUAGCUAAUACCGCAUACCAUCAGCUGCUCCCAGAGGGGAUUAGCUAGGAGGUGGGGUAAUGGGUCACCUAGGCGCCGAUCCCUAGCUGGUCGGGUAGGAUGGCCAGCCACACUGGAACGUAGCAACGGUCCAGACUCCUACGGGAGGCAGCAGUGGGGAAUAUUGCACAGUGGGCGCGAGCCUGAUGCAGCCAUGCCGCGUGUAUUGAGGAGGCCGUCGGUUUGUAAAGUACUUUCAGCGGGGAGGCGUUACCCGCAGAAGAAGCACCGGCUAACUCCGUGCCAGCAGCCGCGGUAAUAC
rnacentral:rRNA from 1 species